AACGAACGCUGGCGGCAUGCCUAACACAUGCAAGUCGAACGAGACCUUCGGGUCUAGUGGCGCACGGGUGCGUAACGCGUGGGAACCUGCCCUUAGGUUCGGAAUAACUCCCCGAAAGGGGUGCUAAUACCGGAUAAUGUCUUCGGACCAAAGAUUUAUCGCCUUUGGAUGGGCCCGCGUUGGAUUAGCUAGUUGGUAGGAUAAAAGCCUACCAAGGCGACGAUCCAUAGCUGGUCUGAGAGGAUGAUCAGCCACACUGGGACUGAGACACGGCCCAGACUCCUACGGGAGGCAGCAGUGGGGAAUAUUGGACAAUGGGCGAAAGCCUGAUCCAGCAAUGCCGCGUGAGUGAUGAAGGCCUUAGGGUUGUAAAGCUCUUUUACCCGGGAUGAUAAUGACAGUACCGGGAGAAUAAGCUCCGGCUAACUCCG
rnacentral:rRNA from 1 species